GCUCCUGUGGUGUAGUGGUAACAUACUCACUUAGGGUGCUACCUGAUAUGUGAGUGAUCCUGCGUUCAAACCGCAGCUGGAGCC